rnacentral:sRNA from 1 species
GAGUGGCUGCGGGAUAGAAGUGAAAAUCCUUAUUUAUGAGGAACGAAUAAAUAAGAUUGCAACGGAUAGCCCGAACCGCA